rnacentral:rRNA from 1 species
CCUACGGGAGGCAGCAGUGGGGAAUAUUGGGCAAUGGGCGCGAGCCUGAACCAGCAAAGUAGCGUGAAGGAUGACUGCCCUACGGGUUGUAACCUUCUUUUAUAAAGGAAUGAAGUGAGGCAUGCGUGCCUUUUUGUCUGUGGUUUAUGAAUAAGGAUCGGCUAACUCCGUGCCAGCAGCCGCGGUAAUACGGAGGAUCCGAGCGUUAUCCGGAUUUAUUGGGUUUAAAGGAAGCGUAGAUGGGUUGUUAAGUCAGUUGUGAAAGUUUGCGGCUCAACCGUAAAAUUGCAAUUGAUACUGGCAGCCUUGAGUACAGUUGAGGUAGGCGGAAUUCGUGGUGUAGCGGUGAAAUGCUUAGAUAUAACGAAGAACUCCGAUUGCGAAGGCAGCUUACUAAACUGCCACUGACAUUGAUGCUCGAAAGUGUGGGUAUCAAACAGGAUUAGAUACCCCAGUAGUC